rnacentral:rRNA from 1 species
UACGUAGGGUGCAAGCGUUAAUCGGAAUUACUGGGCGUAAAGCGUGCGCAGGCGGCUUUGCAAGACAGAUGUGAAAUCCCCGGGCUCAACCUGGGAACUGCAUUUGUGACUGCAAGGCUGGAGUACGGCAGAGGGGGAUGGAAUUCCGCGUGUAGCAGUGAAAUGCGUAGAUAUGCGGAGGAACACCGAUGGCGAAGGCAAUCCCCUGGGCCUGUACUGACGCUCAUGCACGAAAGCGUGGGGAGCAAACGGG